AUUAACAAAAACAAAAGUGAUAUUUUUGAAAUAUAUGCUCCGUGCUGUGGGUGUGGCUACACGCCUGGCCUGGGAGCCAGCCCCCCGUAGGAGCCCCUCGUUCCGAGACACCCUCACUUUGCUGGCGAUUUGUGUGGCUGCAAUUUUGACGAUGCCAAAGUAUCCUCGGGACUUUGACGUGGCAGUGAGAGUAGAUUUUAUGGGAAUCCAUUGGGUACCCAUUUUCGCAAAAUUUGUUUAAAUUUGACCAUUUCGGUUUGUUUUCAUCGAAUCCGGCUAUGAAAAUCCUUCAAAAUGUGUGCAUUUUAUUGUUUUUCGAUGCAAAUUGCAAAUUUUCAUCGAUUACGUAAUCAAAAUUUGUUGGGUGCAAAGUUUUUCCAACUGGAUUUCCUACAAUAUUCCUUGGGUUUUCACCCCGCCAAAAGGUAGCCGGUAAACGAAUUCCUCAAAAUUUCAUUGAAUUUGAUCAAAAGAAUAGAUUCAAAAAGUUUUUUACUGCAAUAAAACACAUUUUUCGAA